rnacentral:rRNA from 1 species
GCUUGGAUAUUACACAGAACACCGAUUGCGAAGGGCAGCUUACUGGGGCCAUUACGACGCUGAUGCAGGAAAGCGUGGGGAGCGAACAGGAUUAGAUACCCUGGUAGUCCACGCCGGUAAACGGAUGAUCACUCGCUGUUAGCGAUACACAGUUAGCGGCUAAGCAAAAGCAUUAAGUGAUCCACCUGGGGGAGUACGGCCGCAAGGGCUGAAACUCAAAGGAAUUGACGGGGGGCCCGCACAAGCGGGAGGAACAUGUGGUUUAAUUCGAUGAUACGCGAGGGAACCUUACCUGGGCUUAAAUGUAGAGUGCAUGAAGUAGAAAUAUUUCUUUCCUUCGGGACUCUUUGCAAGGUGCUGCAUAGUUAUCGUCAGCUCGUGCCGUGAGGUGUCGGGUUAAGUCCCAUAACGAGCGCAACCCUUAUCGUUAGUUGCCAGCGGGUAAUCCCGGGAACUCUAACGAAACUGCCGGUGUAAACCGUGAGGAAGGUGGGGAUGACGUCAAAUCAGCACGGCCCUUAUGUCCAGGGCUACACACGUGUUACAAUGGCCGGUACAGAGGGCAGCUACCUGGAGACAGGAUGCGAAUCUCCAAAGCCGGUCUCAGUUCGGAUCGGAGUCUGCAACUCGACUCCGUGAAGCUGGAUUCGCUAGUAAUCGCGCAUCAGCCAUGGCACGGUGAAUACGUUCCCGGGCCUUGUACACACGGCCAGUGAAUUCUAAUAAGUCUCGGUAUAGGGAAAAUUGUAUUUAGAGGCAGCGAAUUAGCCCUUUACCUUGGUCGGGGUUUUAACUGGAUCCAAGUUA